rnacentral:tmRNA from 1 species
GGGGCCGAUCGGUUUUGACAGCGGGUGUGGAAUUAAAUGGUAAGCAUGUCGAGCGCUGAUUCACAGCUCGUAAAUAUCAUGAAUUAAACUUAUAAACGGCGAAAACAAUUACGCUUUAGCUGCUUAAUUCUGAAUUACAGUAAGAAUUGCCUAGUCCCUACCAGGUAGGGAAGCUAGAUUUCUCUCAAAAGCCUUGAUUUAUGGCGCUUGAUUAAGAGGAACCGUAAAAGUAAAUCUAGAAACGGUAAAGCUUUAAAUCCGUUUUGACACUGAUAAAGCUAAGCUUUUGGUGGAUGUUUUUUUCCGAGCCCGAAGUCGAAAAUUAAAUAAAAAACUAAACAUGUAGAAAGCUUUUUGAUUGCUCGUUUGGACCUGAGUUCGAUUCUCAGCGGCUCCACAG